GACGAACGCUGGCGGCGUGCUUAACACAUGCAAGUCGAACGGUGAAGCACCUUCCUUUUGGUGGGUGUGGAUGAGUGGCGAACGGGUGAGUAACACGUGAGUAACCUGCCCCCUUCUUCUGGAUAACCGCAUGAAAGUGUGGCUAAUACGGGAUAUUCUGGGUCUGUCGCAUGGCGGGCCUGGGAAAGAUAUUGGUUCGGUGGGGGAUGGGCUCGCGGUCUAUCAGCUUGUUGGUGGGGUGAUGGCCUACCAAGGCGGUGACGGGUAGCCGGCCUGAGAGGGUGGACGGUCACACUGGGACUGAGACACGGCGCAGACUCCGACGGGAGGCAGCAGUGGGGAAUAUUGCACAAUGGGCGCAAGCCUGAUGCAGCGACGCCGCGGGAGGGAUGGAGGCCUGCGGGUUGUAAACCUCUUUCGCCAGUGAAGCAGGCCUGUCCCUUUUGUGGGUGGGUUGACGGUAGCUGGAUAAGAAGCGCCGGCUAACUACGUG
rnacentral:rRNA from 1 species